GGGGGUGUAGCUCAGUUGGUUAGAGCGCUGGCCUGUCACGCCAGAGGCCGCGAGUUCGAGUCUCGUCACUCCCGCCA
rnacentral:tRNA from 3 species